AAAGAGUUUUAUUCUUGCUUAAACAUUUAUUAUUUAGAAUGCUUUACAUGUAAAUUUUUGUGAGGAAUAAAUUAUUUCUUAAUGAGUAUUUUAUUAAUUGCAGUAUUUGAUAUUAAUAAUAAAAGAAAUUUGGAAUUAGUAAUUUUGAUAUGAUUGGUUAAAGUCGUGCCAGCUACCGCGGUUAUACGUCUAGUAGAAAUAAAUUUUAUUAGUUGGGAAUUAGUUGUGUUCAUUAAAUUAUAUAAAAAAUUAAAAGGUAAAAUUCUUUAAUUUUUUAUAAUUUAAAUUAGUAAAGAUGAAGUUUUGAAAAUUGAAUAGUAAACUAGGAUUAGAUACCCUAUUAUUUUAAUAGUAAAAGAUGAGAUUGGAGUAGUAUUAGUUAAGUGCUUGAAACUCAAAGAAUUUGGCGGUGUUUUAGUCUUUUCAGAGGAAUCUGUUCUGUAAUUGAUAAUACACAAUAAAUGUUACUUAAUUUUGUAAAUUCAGCUUGUAUACCGCCGUUAUAAGAUUAUCUUUUUAGAGGUAGAAUUUUCUUAAGAUUAAUAAAUAAGAUGUCAGGUCAAGGUGCAGCUUAUAAUUAAGAUAGAAAUGGAUUACAAUAAAUUUAUUUAAAUGGAUUGAUUGCUGUGAUGUGAGAAUGAAGGUGGAUUUGAAGGUAAUUUUGUUAAAUUAUGAUAAAAUGAUUGAAGCUCUAGAACAUGUACACAUCGCCCGUCGCUCUCGUUUAUUAAAGUGAGAUAAGUCGUAACAUAGUAGUUGUACUGGAAAGUGCAGCUAGGAAGUC
rnacentral:ncRNA from 1 species